AUACGUAGGUGGCGAGCGUUGUCCGGAAUUACUGGGUGUAAAGGGAGCGUAGGCGGGGGUUUAAGUUGGAUGUGAAAUACCGCGGCUCAACCGCGGGGCUGCAUCCAAAACUGGACUUCUUGAGUGAAGUAGAGGCAAGCGGAAUUCCUAGUGUAGCGGUGAAAUGCGUAGAUAUUAAGAGGAACACCAGUGGCGAAGGCGGCUUGCUGGGCUUUUACUGACGCUGAGGCUCGAAAGCGUGGGGAGC
rnacentral:rRNA from 1 species